rnacentral:lncRNA from 1 species
CCCCUCCCAAAUUUCUGUUUUCCUGCCUAUAGCUAUGUUCCUUCCCCAUGAUAUAAACCUCCAAUUUUAGCCAGAUGGGGAGAUGGAUUUGAGACUGGUCUCCCGUCUCCUCAGCUACAGCACUCAGUUAAAGCCUUCUUCCCUGGCAGUACUCGUCUCAGUGACUGGCUUCCUGUGCGGUGAGCAAUACGACCGAGACAAACCCCUGGCAUUUUGGCAGCAGAUUUUUGUUCCCUGACAGGUUGGUCUGAGCAGAGUUCUGGUCUGAUGGAGCAAGGGAAGGUCUGCAGCCACACCACCCUGAACGUGCCAGCUCUCUUCUGAUUUCGAAAGGUCUGUGAGUUGUAGUGCUAUCUCACAGUUGGAUUCAUUUUGCUAGUGAAUGGGAAAGCAGGAUGGAGUUCCUUGCAUCCAGGUUUUAUGCCGCUGUUCUAAGCAGGGUUGGGCCUGGUUACUACAUGAUGUCCUCCUGGGGUGCAGUUUGGCCGCAGUGUUCUUUAGAGUCUGGGAAGGUUUGGCCAUCAAAAAUCAAACUGUCACGGAAACUGCUUUAUCCAAAAUUUUGUUUCACAGUCUUCACUGGAUUACCUACUGGAGCAAGCAAAGUUUACCCAUGUGAACAUGUAGGUAAACCACUGAGUUUGUACUGCUAUCUUGUGGCUAGUGUUCUGUGGUAAAACUAUUAGGUCUUUGUUUGUCUGUGUGUAUAUAUAUCCUGAUGUUAUGUGUUGUUUUCACAGGACACCAAACUGGCUUAUAAAUGAAACAGUGCUCAUAGAUUAAGUAAACAAAUACAAACAUUAUUGAAGUUCACAUAACUUAAGUAAAUCUUUAAUAAACAAGUGGGCUUUAAAAUUAUUGGUAAAAUAAAAAUAGAAAUGUCUUCAGAAUUGUCAAUAUACAUUUGUGUGUGUGUGUGUUUUAUAUUUGUCUCUGCUACAUAUUUUGAGGUGUCAAGGUUUGGCACACAAGGUUAUGAAACUACAAACCCAUUCACAGCAAAAUGAUCUUUGUUUGUAUGACUUUUUUUUGAUAAAUAAGACUAAUUUAAUGUUGUUGGUUUAAUGAAAACAGCUGAAUAUCCUGAGUUCUUGGUGAAAAUGCCCAUAUAUUUAACUUUAAGGUCAUUACUUAGGUGAAUGCCAGAUAUUCACAUGCUAUUAAGAUAGUUAACAAGGAGAUUACUUGAAAUGAUGGCUAGCUUUAUCUAACAUCUCAGUUUUCAGAGGUAAUCUAGAUAAACUGUUAAAAUUGAAAGAAUUGAGUACAUGCAAAUAGGAUAAAUGCUUGUAGGUAAACUUUUUGUAUAAUUUUAAAUCUUAAAAUUAUUUUUGAUACUCAUUAGAUACCUUGGUAAUUUCCAAUUAAGAAAGGGUUAUGAUAUGGGGAAACACUAUUUUUAAAAAUGUGGAAUGUUUUCAUCUAUAAAAUGCUAAUAUCUGAUAGAUAGUUCAGAUUUCUUGCUUCCAAUGUUUUCGCCAAAAUUCAAGGUUACUAAGAAUAGAUAUUAUGGUUAAUACAUAAUUCUGUACAUAAAAUAUGCCAAAGAAGAUGUAUUCUUAUUGAAGAAAAUAAUACUUUUGUCUAAUUCAACAGUUAUCUAAAGGUUAAUUGAAAUUAAAGACUUAGAAAGAUUAUUUACAAACCAGGUAGAAAGAAAAGAGUAAGUAGAGGAGAGAGAUGUAAGGAAAGUUAUGGAUAUAAAGAUGCAUUUCUUUGGUAGGGAAGAGAAAAAAGAAAGAAUAAUUUCGUAUGAGGAAAGAUCUCAUAUGGGAAAUUUUUGUUUUGAACUAAAAUGACUGGUUAUUUUAAAAAGAAAAUUUAGGACAAAACAGAAAGCCCAAGCAUGUCAUACAUUGUCUGUGUAAGUCAUGUGUAGUUAUUUUCUAUUUCUCUGUAUGUGUAUCUUGAUGUACACACAGAGAAAAUCAAGAUUUCAAAAACUUUAGAUAAAAUAUUCUUUAAAACCAGAUAGAAAAUUGGAUAAAUUUGGCCAAUUGACAUUGUCCAUAUGUGAAAUUGUCCCACAUGUGACAUUGUCCCACAUGUGCUCAUUUUAGGCUCUGAGUAACACUAGCCUCCAAUGUAAACUGAGUGGAAAAAAAUUGUGAGUCAUGUUCCUAUUUAUUUGUUUUUUUUCUUGCUGUUUGCUCUUCUUUGGGUUUUACUAAGUAAACUGAUUUUUCAAACUUUGUAAUGGAAGACUUUUAUUUGGUUCUAUGGAUAGUCAUUUUGUUUCUAUGCAUUUCCAACAAUUCAUCAUUUGCUCUACUUAUCUAAAAAUCCUAAACUACCUUCAUCAAGCCUCUAAAAGUUGAUAGAGCACACAAGACACUUAAAAUUUGAUUGGUAUGGUUACCUCUGAUGAUCUGGAGAGCUUUAAGAGCUUUAAUAUUUCUGGCCAAAAAUAAAAGACUUACUUUUAUAAGUUCUGAACAGAGAUAGUACCUACUUUAUCUUACUAUUUGUAAAAGUAGGUGAGAGUAGAAACCUUUAAAUGGUUUUUAUUUUCAAGAUAAUUCAAUUUGAUCAGUGUUUGAACUGGUUUCAGAUAUUGUAAUGAGGAAAAACUGUGAUAUGGUAUAAGUUUCAAAGUUCUGGAAAGUUUGGCCUUGUCCUUAAGGAAAUUAUAUUGACUGGGAUUUCUCUCAAGCUACUUUAGUUGUUUUAAUUGUUAUUAAAAUUAAGUGGCAUUCACCUGGAUUAGGUAGCAGUUUAAAAAUGUGAGACGUUCUAAUGAUUUUUGAUCCCAAGCCUUUUAUCACUGUUGGGGAUUCAUGUCUGUGCUUAAAAACAAAAUAUGUAUAAGUGUUGCACUGAUUUGAAGAUUUCUAGUGGUAAAAGUUACCUAAUUGGCUGUCAGUACUGUAUCUAGAAACCAAUUUUGUAAUUGUGUGAUGAUGCUCUUUUAAAAUAGCUGAAAAUAAA